CUGCCUUUGAGCUGGGACAUGGGUUUUUUCCUGCCAUGAGAUUCAAAUUAAGACGUUAGCUCUUCUUCGAUCUCAAGGCUGCUGACCUUUGGAACUACACCACUGCUCUCCUGGAUCUCGAGCUUCCUGACUGCCGAUCUUGGGACUUCUCAGCCUCCAUAAUCAGAUCACAAGCCUGAGGGAGCAGACUCUGAUCCAUGGAGAAGUCCCACCUGUCGCCCCAGCAAAGUGAGACACACGAUAACUUCCUCGAGGUGAAACUGGCCCCCCAGUACAUAGUUGUGUAUUCUUCGUUGUGGGUCCUUCUAGUUGUGGCAUGUGGGACGCCGCCUCAGCGUGGUCUGAUGAGCAGUGCCAUGUCCGCGCCCAGGAUUCGAACCAACGAAACACUGGGCCGCCUGCAGCGGAGCGCGGAAACUUAACCACUCGGCCACGGGGCCAGCCCCCUGAAGUGAAUUCUUUAUCAUGUUAAACUAUGAUAUACAUAUGGUUAUAAAGUCAACCAGUAGAUGGGAAUUAUUAUGGUUCUGUUUCCUGCCCAACGUUCUUUCCUCCACUAUUCAAUUUGAGUUUAUAAUAUUUACCUUUAUACUUUAAAUAUGCUUUUACUUCUACCAUUUGCUUUAUCAGCUAUAAAUUAUAUGUUGUGCCUGUUCACCUGACAGAUCAGGAAGUCAGCGUACGUGCAUGACCUCCAUUACAUGAUACUAUUACUAUCACCUGGACAUAAUCAGGGUUUAUAACACUUACACUCAGUUCCAUAACAACAUGUUGGUAGCAAUCUAAAUGGAAUCUAUUAUGACCAGCAGUCCUUUUGCCGUGCUUUCCAUUCUGAUUCCCAGCCCUCCCCAACAGGUCUUAGUUCUCAGAAGAGAGGAGUCUAUUGUCCCUGUUCUGUGAGGCUCCAGGGCCGGGAGGACUAAAAGAAAUACAGCCGAUUUGGAAACAUGAGACUCUGGAAAUUUGGAAACUUGCGGAACCCUAGGCAGGGGGCUUGGCCCAAAGCACAGAGUCUGGGAGCCUGUGGAGGGGACCAGCAACAGAGAGAAGGCAAAGCAGCACAAACAAGAAGGACCUGUCUGUGAACACAGCUGAUGUGCCCCUGAAGACUCAAGGAAAAUCUGCACAGAGACUGUGCAUGGGACAUAAAUCCUCCUUGAGUAGAUGGGGACACUGAAUCACGAACACUUGGAUUUAAGUAGUAAAGUGGUCACAUGAGCCUCCAGGCUAGAUCGGCCUGGGAACACUUAGACUACGUUUGAAAUUAAAAUGUGACUCAAUAGGAAAAUACAUUUUUUUUUUGGUAGAUAAAUAAUGAGGUCUGCUUAAACAGAAAUGUGGGAUUAUAGAUGUUUAUACAAAGCUCUUACCCUAAUAGAGAUGUGUACCUUUGUCUUUAAAUAAGAAUUGAAGCUAGAACAGGAUAAAAGAAAACAUUCUCUACUACUGCUGUCUUUCUGUGAAUGGAAAUUUAAACUCGUCCUGUCUUUGUGGUCUUUCUACCCUCUACUGUAAUGCGUGUACACACACACGUACACCCAUGGUAGCCACCCAGUGUUUUCCUUCAACACGCCUGGGAUUGCACAUUUCACAUCCAACUAUCCAAAUUCUCCUCCCUCCCUCCCUGGAGUCUUCAGGGGCACAGAUCCAGAAAAACAAAGCACCUUGUCACAAUCCUUUCCUGUUCCCCUCAUCCAGAGGCCACUUCUUCCUCCUUUGAGUUCCCAUGAUAUUUUAUCUGUACCUCUCAUGGAGCUUAUCUCCUUCUGGC
rnacentral:lncRNA from 1 species